UCUUUUGUAUUUUAGUGGCCUCUCUGAGAAAACAAGCAAAUAAGUUAAAACUUUCAACAACGGAUCUCUUGGUUCUGGCNUCGAUGAAGAACGCAACGAAAUGCGAUAAGUAAUGUGAAUUGCAGAAUUCAGUGAAUCAUCGAAUCUUUGAACGCACAUUGCGCCCGCCAGUACUCUGGCGGGCAUGCCUGUUCGAGCGUCAUUUCAACCCUCAAGCCCUGCUUGGUGUUGGGGUCCUACGGCUGCCGUAGGCCCUGAAAGCUAGUGGCGGGCUCGCUAUAACUCCGAGCGUAGUAGUAAAAUAUCUCGCUAGGGAGGUGUCGCGGGUUCCGGCCGUGAAAGCCCAUCUUUUACACAAGGUUGACCUCGGAUCAGGUAGGAAUACCCGCUGAACUUAAGCAUAUCAAUAAGCGGAGGAAAAGAAACCAACAGGGAUUGCCCCAGUAACGGCGAGUGAAGCGGCAACAGCUCAAAUUUGAAAUCUGGCUUCGGCCCGAGUUGUAAUUUGUAGAGGAUGCUUUUGGUGAGGUGCCUUCUGAGUUCCCUGGAACGGGACGCCAGAGAGGGUGAGAGCCCCGUAUAGUUGGACACCGAGCCUCUGUAAAGCUCCUUCGACGAGUCGAGUAGUUUGGGAAUGCUGCUCAAAAUGGGAGGUAUAUCUCUUCUAAAGCUAAAUACUGGCCAGAGACCGAUAGCGCACAAGUAGAGUGAUCGAAAGAUGAAAAGCACUUUGAAAAGAGGGUUAAAUAGUACGUGAAAUUGUUGAAAGGGAAGCGCUUGUGACCAGACUUGUGCCCGGCUGAUCAUCCAGUGUUCUCA
rnacentral:rRNA from 1 species